rnacentral:rRNA from 1 species
AACCUACGCGGGGCAGCAGUGGGGAAUAUUGGGCAAUGGGCGCAAGCCUGACCCAGCAACGCCGCGUGAAGGAAGAAGGCCCUCGGGUUGUAAACUUCUUUUAUCAGGGACGAAACAAAUGACGGUACCUGAUGAAUAAGCCACGGCUAACUACGUGCCAGCAGCCGCGGUAAUACGUAGGUGGCAAGCGUUAUCCGGAUUUACUGGGUGUAAAGGGCGUGUAGGCGGGUCUGCAAGUCAGAUGUGAAAUAUCAUGG